rnacentral:rRNA from 1 species
UGGGGAAUUUUGGACAAUGGGCGAAAGCCUGAUCCAGCAAUGCCGCGUGUGUGAAGAAGGCCUUCGGGUUGUAAAGCACUUUUGUCCGGAAAGAAAUCCUUGGUUCUAAUAUAGCCGGGGGAUGACGGUACCGGAAGAAUAAGCACCGGCUAACUACGUGCCAGCAGCCGCGGUAAUACGUAGGGUGCGAGCGUUAAUCGGAAUUACUGGGCGUAAAGCGUGCGCAGGCGGUUUGCUAAGACCGAUGUGAAAUCCCCGGGCUCAACCUGGGAACUGCAUUGGUGACUGGCAGGCUAGAGUAUGGCAGAGGGGGGUAGAAUUCCACGUGUAGCAGUGAAAUGCGUAGAGAUGUGGAGGAAUACCGAUGGCGAAGGCAGCCCCCUGGGCCAAUACUGACGCUCAUGCACGAAAGCGUGGGGAGCAAACAGGAUUAGAUACCCUGGUAGUCCACGCCCUAAACGAUGUCAACUAGUUGUUGGGGAUUCAUUUCCUUAGUAACGUAGCUAACGCGUGAAGUUGACCGCCUGGGGAGUACGGUCGCAAGAUUAAAACUCAAAGGAAUUGACGGGGUCAUAGCUGUUUCCU